GAGGUCAGAUGUGAGACUCUUCAGAUGGCUUUACUGUCUCUUACUUCCAAUCCGUGAAAUUGACCUUCCCGUGAAGAGGCGGGAAUAAAACAAUAAAACGAGAAGACCCUAUGGAGCUUUAAUUAACCGACCCAAAGAGACCCCAUUAAUUAACCGACAGGAACAACAAAUCUCUAUAUGGGCCGACAAUUUAGGUUGGGGUGACCUCGGAGAACAAAACAACCUCCGAGUGAUUUAAAUCUAGACUAACCAGUCAAAAGUAUUACAUCACUUAUUGAUCCAAAAACUUGAUCAACGGAACAAGUUACCCUAGGGAUAACAGCGCAAUCCUAUUUCAGAGUCCAUAUCGACAAUAGGGUUUACGACCUCGAUGUUGGAUCAGGACAUCCCGAUGGUGCAGCAGCUAUCAAAGGUUCGUUUGUUCAACGAUUAAAGUCCUACGUGAUCUUAGUUCAGACCGGAGUAAUCCAGGUCGGUUUCUAUCUAUUAAAUAAUUUCUCCCAGUACGAAAGGACAAGAGAAAUAAGGCCCACUUUACCAAAGCGCCUUCAACCAAAUAGAUGAUAUAAUCUUAAUCUAGACAGUUUAUCUAAUUACACUACCCGAGGGCUCGGGUUUGUUAGGGUGGCAGAGCCCGGUAACUGCAUAAAACUUAAGCUUUUAUUAUCAGAGGUUCAAUUCCUCUCCUUAACAACAUGUUCAUAAUCAAUAUCCUCUCACUAAUUAUUCCCAUUCUCCUCGCUGUAGCCUUCCUAACCUUAGUUGAACGAAAAGUACUAGGUUACAUGCAACUCCGCAAAGGACCAAAUGUCAUAGGACCAUACGGCCUACUCCAACCCAUCGCAGACGCCGUAAAACUCUUCACUAAAGAACCCCUCCGACCCCUCACAUCCUCUAUAUUCAUAUUCAUUAUAGCACCAAUCCUAGCCCUCACACUAGCCCUAACCAUAUGAAUCCCAUUACCUAUGCCAUACCCACUCAUUAACAUAAACCUAGGAGUACUAUUUAUACUAGCCAUAUCAAGCCUAGCUGUCUACUCUAUCCUAUGAUCAGGGUGGGCCUCAAAUUCAAAAUACGCCCUAAUCGGAGCCCUACGAGCCGUAGCCCAAACAAUCUCAUAUGAAGUCACACUAGCCAUCAUCCUCCUAUCAGCACUACUAAUAAAUGGGUCCUUCACAUUAGCUACACUAAUCACCACCCAAGAAUAUAUAUGAUUAAUCAUUCCUGCAUGACCCCUAGCCAUGAUAUGGUUUAUCUCAACACUAGCAGAAACCAACCGGGCCCCAUUCGACCUAACAGAAGGAGAAUCAGAACUCGUCUCCGGAUUCAAUGUAGAAUAUGCAGCAGGCCCCUUCGCCCUAUUCUUCCUAGCGGAAUACGCUAACAUCAUCAUAAUAAAUAUCCUCACAACAAUUCUAUUCUUCGGAGCAUUCCACAACCCUUAUAUACCAGAACUAUACACUGUCAACUUUACAGUAAAAACCCUAUUCUUAACAACAAUCACUUUCUUAUGAAUCCGAGCAUCCUACCCACGAUUCCGAUAUGACCAACUAAUACACCUCUUAUGAAAAAAUUUCCUACCUCUUACCCUAGCCUUAUGCAUGUGACACGUAUCCCUGCCUAUUAUUACAGCAAGCAUCCCACCUCAAACAUAAGAAAUAUGUCUGACAAAAGAGUUACUUUGAUAGAGUAAAACAUAGAGGUUUGAACCCUCUUAUUUCUAGAAUUAUAGGAAUCGAACCUAAUCCUAAGAAUCCAAAAAUCUUUGUGCUACCAUUAUCACACCACAUUCUAAAGUAAGGUCAGCUAAAUAAGCUAUCGGGCCCAUACCCCGAAAAUGUUGGUUUAUACCCUUCCCAUACUAAUCAAACUCCCUAUUUUUAUUAUCAUUAUAUUAACCAUUAUCUCAGGAACUAUAAUUGUAAUAACAACCUCCCAUUGGCUUAUAGUCUGAAUCGGCUUUGAAAUAAACCUACUAGCCAUUAUUCCCAUCCUCAU